UGCUGGCAACCACGACAAGCUGCCUGGCUUUCUGUUUGCCCUAAGAAGUGAGCCAAAGCAGAGAUACUGUGAGCUUCUAAGUUCUGAAUGAAGUAGCAAUGCAUUAAAAGGCUAGGCAAGCCAAGAGAUGUUGUGCAUGUCCAAGUAAGUGCAAAGUGAGUGAGUGCUAAGAAAACAAGCUAAGAAACUGAGAUGAAUCCUGUGCUGAUGAAUGAGAUGUGGAUAAGUGACCUGGCAGAGGCAUUGCAAUGUGGACUGUUGUACUUCCAAUCGUGUGGAAACAUCUGAAAGAUUUUACUGGAAAGCAGAAGAAUAGAUAGUGAACAGGAGACCAAGAUGGAAGAGAGAUGAAGAUAUUUCUCAUGUGACAGCAACACAACCAGAGCUCCAGGCACCACACUUGACCAAGAACUCAGCAACUUUUCCUGAAGCAGGAAAGCUAUACUGGAAGAGACAGUAAGAACUGCCGAUGCUGGAGUCAGAGAUAACACAGUGUGGAGUUGGAGGAACACAGCAGGCCAGGCAGCAUCAGCGGAGCAGGAAAGCUGAUGCUUUGGAUUUUCUGGAGAAGGGUCCCAACCCGAAACGUUUGCUUUCCUGCUCCAUUGAUGCUGCCUGGCCUGCUGUGUUCCUCCAGCUCCACACUGUGUUAUAUGUAAGCUAUACUGGAAAGCUCUUUUCUUUCAACAAAUCAAUUGUUAACUAUUUCAAACAUUGUCCAAAGCAGACAUUGCAAUCUGACGGUCACAAAUCUCCCGUAAUUAAGCACAUGUAAUUGUUGCACAUGUAAGUACCAAGAAACAUAUUGUUAAAACUGUUUCAAUGUGCUUUCAUUGACCUUUUUUUAAGAAAACUAAUCCAGAUAUUCAUAAUCUUUCAAAUCGAAGUCAAAACCUAUUAGAUGUGAAACUUUCAUUACUCCUCUACUAGUGGAAAACAACUACCAUAUUCAAUGUAUUUCCUGGCAAAGUGUGGAUUAAAAAAUAAAGAUAUUAAAAAUAAGACACACUCAGCAGCCAACCUGAACGAGUAUGUCACCACCUUCACAGACUUCUUCAGUAAGUGUGUAGAAGACUGUGUGCCGAAGAAGUUAAUCCAAGUCUGAGGAAAGGUCACUGAACCUGAAACGUUAGCUCUGAUUUUUUUCUUCGCAGAU